rnacentral:misc_RNA from 1 species
CAUCUUCAAUGCAUUCUUGAAUGGUGUCAAAGAAGCUCCCAAUGCCCUAUGUGCUGGCAACCUAUCAGCCUGAAGGAUCCUACAAGUCAAGAAUUGCUUGAGGCUGUGGAGCGUGAGAGGAGUCUUAGGUUUAAUCCAUCUAGAAAUGCGACUAUAUUUCAUCAUCCAACUCUGGGCGAUUUUGAAUUAGAGCACUUGCCAGUGGGUGCAAAUGAUGCUGAACUUGAAGAGCGUAUAAUCCAGCAC